GCAGUGGGGAAUAUUGCACAAUGGGCGCAAGCCUGAUGCAGCCAUGCCGCGUGUAUGAAGAAGGCCUUCGGGUUGUAAAGUACUUUCAGCGGGGAGGAAGGCGAUGUGGUUAAUAACCGCAUUGAUUGACGUUACCCGCAGAAGAAGCACCGGCUAACUCCGUGCCAGCAGCCGCGGUAAUACGGAGGGUGCAAGCGUUAAUCGGAAUUACUGGGCGUAAAGCGCACGCAGGCGGUCUGUUAAGUCAGAUGUGAAAUCCCCGGGCUUAACCUGGGAACUGCAUUUGAAACUGGCAGGCUUGAGUCUCGUAGAGGGGGGUAGAAUUCCAGGUGUAGCGGUGAAAUGCGUAGAGAUCUGGAGGAAUACCGGUGGCGAAGGCGGCCCCCUGGACGAAGACUGACGCUCAGGUGCGAAAGCGUGGGGAGCAAACAGGAUUAGA
rnacentral:rRNA from 1 species